rnacentral:lncRNA from 1 species
AUCAUGUCUCUAUUCUUACUUAUUUUCUGGCACAUUAAUUAUGACGUCCCAACUUCUCACUUUCCACAGGGUCAUCCAUUCUAGAAUUACUGUCAUUCUAACACGCUUAACUCUUUUAAUCCCUUAGACCUAGUCACCACCCAAAAUAUUUAAGCCGGGUUAAAAGUUUUAGCCCUAUUAUAUCUUAUAUGUAGGAUUAUCUGGGGUAUUACAUUCUCUUUCCCUUAAGUCUUGACGUCCUUGUCAGGCUCAGACUCACAAAUUUUAGGCAAUGUGAGACUCGUCUUGCUAGUGUAAAUCGAUCUUGUGGUGAGUUGCGCUCUACCUAUAACAGUCAAUAGUAUGAUAGUUUCGCUCUCUAUACAGUAUAAUCUUGGCUCAGUCGAAACUUAUCUCACACUCUUGGUUGGUAAUUGACUCUGAUACCAACUGCGACGCCUCAAUUCCCAUAGGAUCAUCCAUCCUAAUUAAAACUACUCCCGUCCUAGCACGCAUAACUUUUUUAACCUCUUGAGCUUAACUACCACCCAAAAUGCUUAAAUCGGGUUAAGGAUUUUAGCCCUAUUAUAUUUUAUACAUAAGACUAACUGGGGCCUCACAUUAAUCCUUAGUGACUGUAUUAAAAACAAAAAGAAAAACAUUGUAUUUGUACACUAAAAAAUAAUUAUAAAUAUUAUAUAGGGACAAACGUAUAGAACUUACUUGAUGUCACGUCCCGCCCCAUUGCACAGUAGAGGUCAUGGGGGUGUGUGCAGAGUUUUCCCUAGCCGCCUAAGACGUAAACAAAACCAAUAUAUUGAAUUUACUAUUACAAUAUUGGAACAUUCACAUUUUACGUAAUACAUGAAUUUUUUCUCAAAAUACAAUUUCGUUCUUGAUUAUAUUUUCAUUUUUAAAAUUAACUUUAGUACAUUCUCGCUCGUGAUAUGUUCUCGUGCAAAACUGUGUUAUAUUAGUCACUACAACAGAAUUAGGUUAUAGGGACACAUGUUUGGGACACUUUUGAGUAAGUGUCCCAUUUAUACUAAAACUUAAAAACACAUCUACUAAUGCCUAAAUAUAAAGCCCAAUCCAACCAAAAAUAAAAGAUUACUGUACUCAACCCACCACACCCAGUCCAUUUGGCCCGAUUACAAACAGAAAAGAAAAAAAAAAGAAAAAUCAAUUACCAUCUUUUCUUCUCUCUUCACUCAAUCCACUGAAAUUCUAGACGAAGAGCCUUUACUGUCGUCCUCCUCCGCCACCGCAGUCAACGAGAUAGAGUUUCGGCAGUUGCUAAAUGCUUAAAUAAGUGUUGGUACAUUAGUAGCACUCUUUUAGUUUAUUGCGACACUCUUUAACUGUCACUAUAUACCUAGCGACCCCACAUAUAGCAACACUUUUUAAAAGUGUCGGUAAUUUUAGCUAGCAGCACUUUUUUGAUAUGUACCUACAUUUAAAAGUGUCGCUAUAGACCGUUUUUGUUGUAGUGAGUUUUUCUGGAUAAAAUUCAAUGUAUUGAUUUUGUAUACAACUUGGGU